rnacentral:rRNA from 1 species
CGCAUCUGUGCAUGCAGCAUAUCAAUAAGCGGAGGAAAAGAAACUAACAAGGAUUCCCCUAGUAACGGCGAGUGAAGCGGGAAGAGCUCAAAUUUGAAAUCUUAAAGGGUUUCCCUUUACGAAUUGUAGUUUAAAGAAGUGUUUUCUGUUGAGGUUUUGGUAAAAGUUCUUUGGAAUAGGACAUCAUAGAGGGUGAGAAUCCCGUAUUUGACCUUUACUUUCAACUUUGUGAUACACUUUCAAAGAGUCGGAUUGUUUGGGGAAUGCAGUCCAAAAUGGGUGGUAAAUUUCAUCUAAAGCUAAAUAUUGGCGAGAGACCGAUAGCGAACAAGUACCGUGAGGGAAAGAUGAAAAGAACUUUGAAAAGAGAGUUAAACAGUACGUGAAAUUGUCAAAAGGGAAGCGUUUGACACCAGUGUUGUUUUUCUGAAAAUCAAUUAAAGAACUGUUUAUGCUAAGUUGUUUAGACUUUAUCAGCUAACUGUUUAGUUUUGAGCUUUUCUUUAAUGCACUUUUCAGUUAACAAGUCAACAUCAAUUUCUUUUGCUGUAAAAAAGCUUGAGGAAGGUGGCUUGAGAUUCGUCUUAAGUGUUUAUAGCCUCUUGCCUAUGCAGUCGGAGAGAUUGAGGUCUGCAGCGUAGAUCCUUCGGGGCUAAAUGCAUUUGUGCUAAGUUAUAGCAUUUUAUAGACAACUUGUUGACUAUGAUUUGUCUUGUAGCUUACUCGCUUAUGUUAUUUUACCUACGCUUAGGAUGUUGACAGCAGUAUAGACUGU